rnacentral:rRNA from 1 species
CCUACGGGAGGCAGCAGUGGGGAAUAUUGCACAAUGGGGGAAACCCUGAUGCAGCGACGCCGCGUGAGUGAAGAAGUAUUUCGGUAUGUAAAGCACUAUCAACAGGGAAGAAAAUGACGGUACCUGAUUAAUAAGCCCCGGCUAUCUACGUGCCAGAAGCCGCGGUAAUACGUAGGGGGCACGCGUACUCCGGAUUUACUGGUGGUAAAGUGAACGUAGACGGCAGCACAAGUCUGGAGUGAAAUGCCGGGGCUUAACCCGGGAACUGCUUUGGAAACUGUGCAGCUAGAGUGUAGGAGAGGUGAGUGGAAUUCCUGGUGUAGCGGUGAAAUGCGUAGAGAUUAGGAGGAACACUAGUGGCGAAGGCGGCUUACUGGACUGUAACUGACGUUGAGGUUCGAAAGCGUGGGGAGCAAACAGGAUUAGAUACCCCUGUAGUC